UCGGGAAUUUUGGGCAAUGGGCGCAAGCCUGAUCCAGCCAUGCCGCGUGAGUGACGAAGGCCUUAGGGUUGUAAAGCUCUUUUGGCGGGGAAGAUAAUGACGGUACCCGCAGAAUAAGCUCCGGCUAACUUCGUGCCAGCAGCCGCGGUAAUACGAAGGGAGCUAGCGUUGUUCGGAAUCACUGGGCGUAAAGCGCACGUAGGUGGGCAGUUAAGUCAGGGGUGAAAUCCCGGAGCUCAACUUCGGAACUGCCUUUGAUACUGGCAAUCUAGAGUCCGGAAGAGGUUAGUGGAAUUCCCAGUGUAGAGGUGAAAUUCGUAGAUAUUGGGAAGAACACCAGUGGCGAAGGCGGCUAACUGGUCCGGUACUGACGCUGAGGUGCGAAAGCGUGGGGAGCAAACAGGAUUAGAUACCCGAGUAGUCCCUGAGCGGGCUGGCAAGGCGCAU
rnacentral:rRNA from 1 species